UUCUGGUUGAUCCUGCCGGACCUGACUGCUAUCGGAUUGGUACUAAGCCAUGCGAGUCGUUGUAGCAAUACAAGGCGGACUGCUCAGUAACACGUAGUUAACUUAACCUAUGGAUGGGCAUAACCUCGGGAAACUGAGAAUAAUACCCAAUGGACCACAGUGCCUGGAAUGGCCUGUGGUUGAAAUGAUUUAUCGCCGUAGGAUAGGACUGCGGCCUAUCAGCUUGUUGGUGAGGUAAUGGCCCACCAAGGCUAUAACAGGUACGGGCUCUGAGAGGAGGGGCCCGGAGAUGGGUACUGAGACACGGACCCAGGCCCUAUGGGGCGCAGCAGGCGAGAAACCUUUGCAAUGUGCGAAAGCACGACAAGGUUAAUCCGAGUGUCUCCUGCUAAAGGAGUCUUUUGUCAGUUGUAGAAUCACUGGUGAAUAAGGGGUGGGCAAGUUCUGGUGUCAGCCGCCGCGGUAAAACCAGCACCUCGAGUGGUCAGGAGGUUUAUUGGGCCUAAAGCAUCCGUAGCCGGUUGCAUAAGUUUUCGGUUAAAUCUAUGCGCUUAACGU
rnacentral:rRNA from 1 species